rnacentral:rRNA from 1 species
CCUACGGGUGGCAGCAGUGAGGAAUAUUGCACAAUGGGCGAAAGCCUGAUGCAGCGACGUCGCGUGAGGGAAGAAGGAAUUAGUUAUUGUAAACUCUAUCUGCAGGGGAGAAAAUGACGGUACCUGAGUAAGAAGCCCCGGCUAACUACGUGCCAGCAGCCGCGGUAAUACGUAGGGGGCCAGCGUUAUCCGGAUUUACUGGGUGGAAAGGGAGCGUAGUCGGGAGUGCAAGUCUGGAGUGAAAGGCGGGGGCUCAACCCCCGGACUGCUGUGGAAACUGUACGGCUGGAGUGCAGGAGAGGUAAGUGGAAUUCCUAGUGUAGCGGUGAAAUGCGUAGAUAUUAGGAGGAACACCAGGGGCGAAGGCGGCUUACUGGAGUGUAACUGACGUUGAGGCUCGAAAGCGUGGGGAGCGAACAGGAUUAGAUACCCUAGUAGUC